GAAUACUGAAGAGUCCCAGAAUAGGGCGAAACAGCGGUCUAGUGC
rnacentral:hammerhead_ribozyme from 1 species